rnacentral:rRNA from 1 species
AGAGUUUGAUCCUGGCUCAGGAUGAACGCUAGCGACAGGCUUAACACAUGCAAGUCGAGGGGCAGCAUGGUUUGUAGCAAUACAGAUUGAUGGCGACCGGCGCACGGGUGAGUAACGCGUAUGCAACUUACCUAUCAGAGGGGGAUAGCCCGGCGAAAGUCGGAUUAAUACCCCAUAAAACAGGGGUCCCGCAUGGGAAUAUUUGUUAAAGAUUCAUCGCUGAUAGAUAGGCAUGCGUUCCAUUAGGCAGUUGGCGGGGUAACGGCCACCAAACCGCGAUGGAUAGGGGUUCUGAGAGGAAGGUCCCCCCACGAUUGGUACUGAGACACGGACCAAACUCCUACGGGNGCA